rnacentral:rRNA from 1 species
GAUGAACGCUGGCGGCGUGCCUAAUACAUGCAAGUCGAGCGAACAGAUGAGGAGCUUGCUCCUCUGACGUUGGCGGCGGACGGGUGAGUAACACGUGGAUAACCUACCUAUAAGACUGGGAUAACUUCGGGAAACCGGCGCUAAUACCGGAUAAUAUAUUGAACCGCAUGGUUCAAUAGUGAAAGACGGUUUUGCUGUCACUUAUAGAUGGAUCCGCGCCGCUUUAGCUAGUUGGUAAGGUAACGGCUUACCAAGGCAACGAUGCGUAGCCGACCUGAGAGGGGGAUCGGCGACACGAGAACUGAGACACGGACCAGACUCCUAAGGGAGGCAGCAGUCGGGAAUGUUACGCAAUAGGCGAAAGCCUGACGGAGCAACGCCGCGUGAGUGAUGAAGGUCUUCGGAUCGUAAAACUCUGUUAUUAGGGAAGAACAAAUGUGUAAGUAACUAUGCACGUCUUGACGGUACCGAAUCAGAAAGCCACGGCUAACUACGUG